rnacentral:rRNA from 1 species
AGUGAACGCUGGCGGUAGGCCUAACACAUGCAAGUCGAACGGCAGCACAGUAAGAGCUUGCUCUUACGGGUGGCGAGUGGCGGACGGGUGAGGAAUGCAUCGGAAUCUACUUUUUCGUGGGGGAUAACGUAGGGAAACUUACGCUAAUACCGCAUACGACCUACGGGUGAAAUCAGGGGAUCUUCGGACCUUGCGCGAUUCAAUGAGCCGAUGUCGGAUUAGCUAGUUGGCGGGGUAAGGGCCCACCAAGGCGACGAUCCGUAGCUGGUCUGAGAGGAUGAACAGCCACACUGGAACUGAGACACGGUCCAGACUCCUACGGGAGGCAGCAGUGGGGAAUAUUGGACAAUGGGCGCAAGCCUGAUCCAGCCAUACCGCGUGGGUGAAGAAGGCCUUCGGGUUGUAAAGCCCUUUUGUUGGGAAAGAAAAGCAGCAGGUUAAUCCCCCGCUGUUCUGACGGUACCCAAAGAAUAAGCACCGGCUAACUUCGUG